rnacentral:rRNA from 1 species
GACGAACCGUGCGAACGUUGUUCGGAAUCAUUGGGCUUAAAGGGCGCGUAGGCGGGCUGGCCAGUCCGGGGUGAAAGCCCACGGCUCAACCGUGGAAGUGCCUUGGAUACUGCCAGUCUCGAGGGAGGUAGGGGCGUGCGGAACUUCCGGUGGAGCGGUGAAAUGCGUAGAUAUCGGAAGGAACACCGGUGGCGAAAACGGCGCGCUGGACCUCUUCUGACGC